UACAGAGGUCUCAAGCGUUGUUCGGAUUCAUUGGGCGUAAAGGGUGCGUAGGCGGCGCGGUAAGUCGGGUGUGAAAUCUCGGAGCUUAACUCCGAAACUGCAUUCGAUACUGCCGUGCUUGAGGACUGGAGAGGAGACUGGAAUUUACGGUGUAGCGGUGAAAUGCGUAAAUAUCGUAAGGAAGACCAGUGGCGAAGGCGGGUCUCUGGACAGUUCCUGACGCUGAGGCACGAAGGUCAGGGGAGCAAACGGG
rnacentral:rRNA from 1 species